GGAAACAAGGGCGUAUGGUGGAUGCCUUGGCUUAAGGAGGCGAUGAAGGACGCGAGCUAGCGGCGAUACGCUCCGGGGAGGUGCUAAGCAACUUUUGAUCCGGAGGUCUCCGAAUGGGGAAACCUGUUUCGGUAAAACCGAUUCGUCCAGCCGUAAUUUCAGUUCUUUUAGUUAGUUAUUUUGUAGGAAAAGCGAAUCUGACAAGUCCGUCCGUCUUAACUGGUGAUCCCAGCGAUUGGUGUAAGCCGAUUGUGAUGCCGGCAGUGCGCAAGGGAAGUUCGUAACCGGCAGGUAGUCGUGAGUGCACUCAAAAUCAAAGCCUGCUUCUCCUACAAACACUCCCAAACUAACGGUUUGGGAACUGAAAUUACGGCUGGAAGCGUACCCUGGGAAGUAAAACAUUUCAGUACCAGGAGGAGUAGAAACCAAUAAGUAUUCCGUCAGUAGCGGCGAGCGAACGCGGAGAAGCCCAAACCGAUGCGUAGCAUCGGAAAUUCCAAAUCACAAUUUCCAAAUCACAAACAAAUCUCAAAUCUAAAACUCAAACGACUUUCUGAAGUCAUUCCCGCGCAGGCGGAAAUCCAGUUUAAUCUGGUUCCCCGUUUACACGGGGAUGACAUUAAGAAAUGUCAUUUCGGGCUUUGGAUAUUGGGUAUUGUUUGGAAUUUGGUGCUUGGGUAUUGGAGAUUCCGCUGCUGCGCAGCGGUGUUGUAAGGCAGAAGCGUCGUAUUUAUACGAGGAAAGUUACAAAAUUGUUUGUUAAUGGAAGUUGCUGGAAAGCGACACCCCAGAGGGUGAUAGUCCCGUACAUGAAAACAAACAAUCUUUCUUGCUUCUGUUCUUGAGUACCUCAAGACACGAAUAGCUUGGGGGAAUCCGCCGGAACUAACCGGCAAGGCUAAAUACUUCUUAAGACCGAUAGUGAACUAGUACCGUGAGGGAAAGGUGAAAAGCAGCCCGGUGAGGGCGGUGAAAUAGACCUGAAACCAUAUGCCUACAAGGAGUCAGAGCGGGCACAUCACAUGGAAUGUGAUGCGGAAAGACACAAAACACAGACAUACACAAAAAACCAGACAAAACACAAAACAGUCCAAACUUCACAAACGCUUCUUUGUUUGUGCUUUGAGAAAUUGUGUUUUGUUUGGGCUUUGGAUACUGUGCUUUGGAAAGUUUCCGCAUCGCGCUUCGCGCGAUGUGUCCGUCAUGGCGUGCCUAUUGNNNNNNNNNNNNNNNNNNNNNNNNNNNNNNNNNNNNNNNNNNNNNNNNNNNNNNNNNNNUGCCUAUUGAAGAAUGAGCCAACGAGUUGAUGUAUUCGGCUUGCCUAAGUGCGAGAGCGCGGAGGCGAAGCGAAAGCGAGUGUUAAUAGCGCGACAAUAUGUCGAAUCCAUCAGACCCGAAGCCAGGUGAGCUUACCAUGAGCAGGAUGAAUCCGCCAGAAAUGGCGGAGGAGGUCCGAACGCUAGAGCUGUGCAAUACUCUGCGAUGACUUGUGGUAAGGAGUGAUAAGCUAAUCGAACCUGGUAAUAGCUGGUUCUCUCCGAAAUAGCUUUAGGGCUAGCGUCGUGUGUUCCUUUUGGGGGUAGAGCUCUGGAUGGUCUAAAUAGGUCGAAAGACCGUUAGACCAAUCAAACUUCGAAUACCAAAAGCGCCCGCAUCACAGGGAAUGUGAUGCGGAGAAGUAGGAUUUACGAUUUACGAUUUAUGAAUAAGACAGUCUUAUUUCUUAAAUCCUACUUCUUAAAUCAUACAUCUCCGCAUCGCGUUUCGCGCGAUGCGGGUAGAAUGCGGCAGUUAGACCGUGGGGGCUAAGCUCCAAAGGUCAAAAAGGGAAGAGCCUAUGAUCUCCAGUUAAGGUCCCAAAAUCUGCGCUCAGUACAUCACAAGGAAGUGGAAUUUCUCUGACAAUGAGGAUGUAGGCUUAGAAGCAGCCAUCAUUGAAAGAAAGCGUAACAGCUCACUCAUCGAGAAAUUCUGCACCGAAGAUAAUCGGGGUUAAGCGCAGUACCGAAACUGAGGGUGCCUCGUGUAGAACACAAGGAAAUUCCAAAUUACAAUUCCCAAAUCACAAACAAACGACUUAUCUUAAGUCGUUCCCGCGAAAGCGGGAAUCCAGAUUUCUUGGUUCCCCGCCUCCGCGGGGAUGACAUUAAGAAAUGUCAAUUGUUUGGAAUUUGGUGCUUGGUUAUUGGGAUUUUCUCGCGUUCUACGCGAGGUGCGGUAGGAGAGUAUUCGCAUCUGCAGUGAAGCCAAAGGGGUGACCCAUGGUGGAGCGUUGCGAAGUAAGAAUGUUGGCACAAGUAACCACAAUGCGGGUGAGAAACCCGCACGCCGAAAGACUAAGGUUUCCUCCUCGAUGAUUGUCAGAGGAGGGUUAGUCGGGCCUAAGGGGAUGGCGAAAGCCGCACCUGAUGGACACACGGUUAAUAUUCCGUGACUUUGGCGCGUUUCGACGGAGUGACGAAGUCUAGUAUGCCGUGCGCAUUAUUGGAUUUGACGUUCUUGGCUCGGAGACGACUUCCAGGCAAAUCCGGGAGUCUGCCUUUAAUGGCGAGUCGAAGGAGCAGAGAAGACCCGCCUAACUUUGUUUCGGAAAUUGAGAGUGUUGUUGGUUGAGAAUUUUUUUGGAGAUUCUUAACUAGCACACAUUUCUAUUGUUCGGAGACAAAGUUGGGCGGGGAUAUGGCAAAUCGGACUUCCAAGAAAAACUUCUAAGAUUAAACGCGACAAAACCGUACCGUAAACCGACACAGGUAGUCAGCUCGAGUAGAGCAAGGCGAACGAAUGAGAGGUCUCCAAGGAACUCGGCAAAAAAGC
rnacentral:rRNA from 1 species